UGCCUCACGCAAAGAAAGCACAUCACGAUCUGGCGGCCGCCUCCUUCCACCUAGCGUUAUCCCCAUCACGAUCUGGCGGCCGCCACCAUGUCGAAAUUGCAUUCGGUGCCGCCGCCCGUCCCCUCCCUCUCCCAUCUUGCGCUUGCGCUUGUGCCUCCAAUCUCCCGUCGGACGUGCGUGUGCCUCCCAUCUAGCAUCAGCGGCCACUCGCCAGCGACGGCCCGAGGUCACCGACGCAGGGACCCAAGGAUUCGUUGCCGCCGUCCGGAGCUACUUCGUCGACGGCCUCAAUGGGGGCUUUGGCAAGAGCUCCUGGUCUUCCGCCGACGCCGCCGGGUCCAGCCCCUAGGCUGACAUACUGUCGAUCGGGACUCCGUCGGAUCCUUUGUGGCCGACCCACGUCCCAGUCCUCUCCUUCCUCUCACAGUUCAUGAGGCGACACCACAUGAGGAGGCGAGAACAGCAUAAGCAAUCUCAUUCGUGCCAAUCUGUGUGUCGCUCCUCACGCCAAGCCAAAGAUGCAAGUUCAUGAAUGACUGUUCAUUUUACUUGAGAAGUACUAAUUCACAUGGUCAAGAACAACUGCUGGAUUAUAAUUUUAUAAGCCUUUGUACAGAAUACAAGCAUACUCAUCGAUUAAUGUGUGACAUGUAGAAUCCAGUGAAGUAGUAUAAAUUUUCAUCGGCACGCCAACCAAUGUGAGUGGCAACAAUAGUAAGGUGUCGCAGAUUGACCUGGAGGUUGUCCUGAGAGGCACGACACUGCCAGUGGAGAUGUAGCAAGUGAAGGAGGAGGACGGGUGGACUAAGGUGGCUGUGUGGUAGAUGGCGAAGGUGGACAAGAUGAACAAUUGGUUCGACAGGGUGGUGGUUGUCGUCGACGGCUGGGAGACGAAGCAGGUAGACAAGUCCUUUGCCUGGCUCAACAAGAUUGAGCUCAACCUGGGACCGAGCACGGAUGCCACUGCGUAUUGCUAAAAUUUACAAGAAAUGCAGAAGAUAGAGUUACAGCAAUUGAGCAAUGCAUAGUUCCCAAAAUGUGUACCACAUAGUUCUAUGUUGAACAUAGAACUACUUAUGUUCCAUAUUCACCCUAAAACUUCUCUAAAGGUAUUGAACUUUCUCAUGUUUUGGGAAGCUACCAUGUAUCCCCUUGCCUAAAAUUUGAUUGAUAGCCGGAUGGCCGUUAACGACAGUGACGAGUUUGGAAUGGGGAGUGGAUAUAGCGGUGAAGAAGAUGAAGAAGAAGGGUGAUUUAUAACAUGGCACAAAAGUUGACAAUAU